UACAGAGGCUCCAAGCGUUAGGCGGAAUCACUGGGCUUAAAGCGUGUGUAGGCGGCUUUCAAAGUGCUUUGUGAAAUCCCACGGCUCAACCGUGGAACUGCUGAGCAUACUGGAAAGCUUGGGUUAUCUAGGGGCGAGCGGAACGAAUGGUGGAGCGGUGAAAUGCGUAGAUAUCAUUCGGAACACCAAUGGCGUAAGCAGCUCGCUGGGGAUAUACCGACGCUGAGACACGAAAGCUAGGGUAGCGAACGGG
rnacentral:misc_RNA from 1 species